rnacentral:tmRNA from 3 species
GGGGCUGAUUCUGGAUUCGACAGGAUUUGCAAAGCCCUAGGAGCAUGCCGAGGGGCGGUUUGCCUCGUAAAAAGCCGCAAAAAAAUAGUUGCAAACGACGAAAACUACGCACUAGCAGCUUAAUAACCUGCUUAGAGCCCUCUCUCCCUAGCUUCCGUUCUUAAGACGGGGAUCAAGAGAGGUCAAACCUAAAAGAACUCGCGUGAAUACCUUGCCUGGGGUUGAAGCGCUAAAAUCUAAUCAGGCUAGUUUGUCAGUGGCGUGUCCGUUCGCAGCUGACCGGCGAAUGUAAAGAUGGACUAAGCAUGUAGUGCCGACGGUGUAGUAAUUCUGGACGCGGGUUCAACUCCCGCCAGCUCCACCA